rnacentral:rRNA from 1 species
AACGAACGCUGGCGGCAGGCCUAACACAUGCAAGUCGAAGGUGAAUCCGGACUUCGGUUCGGUGGAAACUGGCGCACGGGUGAGCAACGCGUGGGUAUCUACCAUGGGGUGGGGAAUAACCGUUGGAAACGGCGUCUAAUACCUCAUACGCCUUUAGAGGGAAAGCUCCGGCGCCCUAAGAGGAGCCCGCGUUGGAUUAGCUUGUUGGUGGGGUAACGGCCUACCAAGGCUACGAUCUAUAGCUGGUCUGAGAGGAUGAUCAGCCACACUGGGACUGAGAUACGGCCCAGACUCCUACGGGAGGCAGCAGUGGGGAAUAUUGGACAAUGGGCGCAAGCCUGAUCCAGCCAUGCCGCGUGAGUGAAGAAGGCCUUAGGGUUGUAAAGCUCUUUCACCUGCGAAGAUGAUGACGGUAGCAGGAGAAGAAGCCCCGGCUAACCCCGUGCCAGCAGCCGCGGUAAUACGGAGGGGGCUAGCGUUGCUCGGAAUUACUGGGCGUAAAGGGCGCGCAGGCGGAACAUAUAGUCAGGCGUGAAAGCCCCGGGCUUAACCUGGGAAGUGCGCUUGAUACUGAUGGUCUAGAGUCCGGGAGAGGGUGGUGGAAUUCCCAGUGUAGAGGUGAAAUUCGUAGAUAUUGGGAAGAACACCAGUGGCGAAGGCGGCCACCUGGACCGGUACUGACGCUGAGGCGCGAAAGCGUGGGGAGCAAACAGGAUUAGAUACCCUGGUAGUCCACGCCGUAAACGAUGUGUGCUAGACGUCGGGCAGCAUGCUGUUCGGUGUCGCAGCUAACGCAUUAAGCACACCGCCUGGGGAGUACGGCCGCAAGGUUAAAACUCAAAGGAAUUGACGGGGGCCCGCACAAGCGGUGGAGCAUGUGGUUUAAUUCGAUGCAACGCGAAGAACCUUACCAGCCCUUGACAUCCCGGUCGCGGAUUCCAGAGAUGGAUUCCUUCAGUUCGGCUGGACCGGUGACAGGUGCUGCAUGGCUGUCGUCAGCUCGUGUCGUGAGAUGUUGGGUUAAGUCCCGCAACGAGCGCAACCCUCAUCCUUAGUUGCCAGCGGUUCGGCCGGGCCUCUAGGGAAACUGCCGGUGACAAGCCGGAGGAAGGCGGGGAUGACGUCAAGUCCUCAUGGCCCUUAUGGGCUGGGCUACACACGUGCUACAAUGGCGGUGACAGUGGGAAGCAAGACCGCGAGGUGGAGCUAAUCCCCAAAAGCCGUCUCAGUUCGGAUUGUACUCUGCAACUCGAGUGCAUGAAGUUGGAAUCGCUAGUAAUCGUGGAUCAGCAUGCCACGGUGAAUACGUUCCCGGGCC